rnacentral:rRNA from 1 species
AGGGAAUCUUCCACAAUGGGCGAAAGCCUGAUGGAGCAACGCCGCGUGAGUGAAGAAGGCCUUCGGGUUGUAAAACUCUGUCUUCUGGGACGAACGGAGAGAAGAGGGAAUGCUUCUCUUGUGACGGUACCAGAGGAGGAAGCCACGGCUAACUACGUGCCAGCAGCCGCGGUAAUACGUAGGUGGCAAGCGUUGUCCGGAAUUACUGGGCGUAAAGCGCGCGCAGGCGGCCGUUUAAGUCUGGGGUGAAAGCCCAGGGCUCAACCCUGGGAUGGCCUUGGAUACUGGAUGGCUUGAGGAUCGGAGAGGCAAGGGGAAUUCCACGUGUAGCGGUGAAAUGCGUAGAGAUGUGGAGGAACACCAGUGGCGAAGGCGCCUUGCUGGCCGAUGACUGACGCUGAGGCGCGAAAGCGUGGGGAGCAAAC